GUUGAAAUUGGCAGAAUUAGUGCUUUAAAUUUAGAAUUUAAAAAUGUAAAAUUUACAUUCAAUA
rnacentral:tRNA from 1 species